rnacentral:tRNA from 1 species
GUUGGUUAGGUGUUAAUACAUGUUGAUUUUUCGUAUCAGAGUUGGUCUUAGAUCAUCCAUCG